UACAGAGGUCCCAAGCGUUAUCCGGAAUUAUUGGGCGUAAAGAGCUCGUAGGCGGUUUGUCGCGUCUGCUGUGAAAACCCGAGGCUCAACCUCGGGCCUGCAGUGGGUACGGGCAGACUAGAGUGCGGUAGGGGAGAUUGGAAUUCCUGGUGUAGCGGUGGAAUGCGCAGAUAUCAGGAGGAACACCGAUGGCGAAGGCAGAUCUCUGGGCCGUAACUGACGCUGAGGAGCGAAAGCGUGGGGAGCGAACAGG
rnacentral:rRNA from 1 species